rnacentral:lncRNA from 1 species
AGGAAAUGCAACGUCUCUCUUUGUCAUGUGGACUGGUGGUUUCUCAGCGCUACAUUUAGAGGCGAGCGGCUACUGACCAACAGCUUUGAAGAUCUCCUACAACGGCAGUCUUCUAUCCUCUACAGCAUCAAGUCAGCAGUUAUCCUUCAAUCAGAGAUCCGAC